UACGGAGGGAGCUAGCGUUAUUCAGAAUUACUGGGCGUAAAGCGCACGUAGGCGGUUACUCAAGUCAGAGGUGAAAGCCUGGAGCUCAACUCCAGAACUGCCUUUGAAACUAGGUGACUUGAAUCCAGGAGAGGUGAGUGGAAUUCCGAGUGUAGAGGUGAAAUUCGUAGAUAUUCGGAAGAACACCAGUGGCGAAGGCGGCUCACUGGCCCGAUACUGACGCUGAGGUGCGAAAAGCGUGGGGGAGCAAACAGG
rnacentral:rRNA from 1 species